CCUACGGGGGGCAGCAGUGAGGAAUAUUGGUCAAUGGGCGAGAGCCUGAACCAGCCAAGUCGCGUGAAGGAUGAAGGAUCUAUGGUUUGUAAACUUCUUUUAUCUGGGAAUAAAGUGAGGCACGUGUUCCUUUUUGUAUGUACCAUAUGAAUAAGCAUCGGCUAACUCCGUGCCAGCAGCCGCGGUAAUACGGAGGAUGCGAGCGUUAUCCGGAUUUAUUGGGUUUAACGGGUGCGUAGGUGGUUAAUUAAGUCAGCGGUGAAAGUUUGUGGGUCAACCAUAAAAUUGCCGUUGAAACUGGUUGUCUUGAGUAUAUUUGAGGUAGGCGGAAUGCGUGGUGUAGCGGUGAAAUGCAUAGAUAUCACGCAGAACUCCGAGUGCGAAGGCAGCUUACUAAACUAUAACUGACACUGAAGCACGAAAGCGUGGGGAUCAAACAGGAUUAGAUACCCUAGUAGUC
rnacentral:rRNA from 1 species